rnacentral:rRNA from 1 species
UACGGAGGGGGGCUAGCGUUGUUCGGAAUCACUGGGCGUAAAGCGCACGUAGGCGGCUUUGCAAGUCAGAGGUGAAAAGCCCCGGGGGCUCAACCCCCGGAAAUAGCCUUUGAGACUGCAUGGCUUGAACGUCGGAGAGGUGAGUGGAAUUCCGAGUGUAGAGGUGAAAUUCGUAGAUAUUCGGAAGAACACCAGUGGCGAAGGCGGCUCACUGGACGACUGUUGACGCUGAGGUGCGAAAGCGUGGGGAGCAAACAGG